GACGAACGCUGGCGGCGUGCUUAACACAUGCAAGUCGAGCGGUAAGGCCCUUUCGGGGUACGACGAGCGGCGAACGGGUAGGAGUAACAACGUGGGUGGACCUCGCCCUCCAGCUCUGGGAGUAAAGCCUCGGGAAACCGGGGUACCGUAAUAACCGGACGUAUGACUCCAUGACGCAUGUUGUGGGGUGGGAAAGACCUU
rnacentral:rRNA from 1 species